UCAUGUGAUAGUAUACAAGAUUUUAUAAAUGAUCAUAGGUUCUGAAAAGAGAAAAUGGAACACAUCUGUCAUAUUCUGACUACAGCUAUGAAAAGAUAAUCCGCUUGAAACAUUUGAAAUAUAAAUGGUGUUGGUUUGGAAAAAGAGGGAGAUAUAGUUACCCCAAGUCUGCAAAUAACAGAAACUGGAUUUAAAAAAAAAUAGAUAAUGUGGUUGUAAUAGAUAAUGUGAUUGAAAUACAGAUACUUGGCUUAUCUGGACAAAGCCCAGCUGCCCUGGCAGGUGAGAGCUGGGUUUUAGAAGGGCAAAGAUCAGAGAGAGCUGUGAAGAAAUGCCUCGGACCUUCCUGUCCUCAUCCUCCAAUAUUCGGCCCAUAUUCUCCUUAGGAAAAAUCCAUCCAAACCUUGACACAUCAUUAUGGAAGGUCAUGUUGCAUGCCCUUAAGUUGCUCUACAGAGUGCAGAGGCCUGGAAGCACACAGCAUGAAGAAUGGGUAUAGAGUCAAGCAGACCGAGCAAUAGAACACAAAGAAAAGGAAUCCAGCUUCUUGUAUGGAAGUACAGAAAAAAGUAUAUAGAAUCAAAUGAUUUCUGAAUUAGUCUCCAACUCAACUUCAGGAAAAUGGUUAAUUGAAAAUACUAUCAUGUAUGACAGCAUUAGAAAAAAGAACUAUAGUAAAUGAGUAUAAAACUGAGAGCCGAGUCCCAAGGCUCACCUCUUAAACUAUUCAGUCAUCAAAAUAACCUCUUAUUAAACAAUGUCAAGUGGAAGUUAGUGCAGAACACUCUGUCCUUGCAAUUUGCUUCUGUGCUAGCACAUAUAUCUCCUAAGAUAAACACCCAAGGAACUUAAACCAUGCCAAGCCAAACUAAAAAGAAAUGACGCCAACAUCAACUGAUAGAUACGGAUUUUCCAGGCGAUUUACCCAAAGUGUGGGUUGAUUUUUCUGGUAAGGACAAUACAAACUGUCAUUUAGACUCUGAAGAAUUGGAAACAACACCUAGAGCUAAAAAGAUAAUAAGAAUUAAGCAACACCAUGGAACAUGUGUAGGAUAACAUGGCAUAGAAUACUUGGCAAUCGCCAAGAUUUAAGUUAAUGGAAUUUUUCCUAUAAACUUAGAAUACUAGGUUUUCUUAUGCUAAGUUAUCUGAAAAGUUCUUCUUCAUUUUCUUUUUCACUUUCAUCUCUUAACACCUAGCAGAAAAGUAAGCCGUUUCCUGUUUAGUUUAUGAGCUGUUUUUAAAUUUAGUGAGAAACUCUGCCCCCUCCCCCCAAUUUUGGGACGGUGGCGAGUAUCUAAGUAUGCACAUGGUUGCUGGUUACCUCCAGCGUCUGCACACUUGCACACUUAUAUGCACAUACACUUUCACACUAAGUAAAUAGUAAUUAAUAAAAUGCUGGCUAGAGGAGUGGAGGGAGAAGCAUGAAUGAUUGACAUCACUGAAGGUGGUGCAGAUAGAUGAACUUGCUUUUAACUCAGAAGCAAGAAACACAGAUAUUGGAAGAAUAAUACUCAUACAUUUCAUAGAAGUUGUAAAUUUUGAGGAAAGGAAAGAAAACCUGGAAGGUGGUAUUUUAAAAGAAAAUUGUUUAAAAUAGCAGAUUUUUUUUUAAAAAAAUGUUUCUUUAGAAAAAAGGUAAAUGUUGAAUAUGAUAACAUAGGUCUUCAAUAAGCAUAUUGGAAUGACAUUUUAGAAUAUUAAAUAAACAAAUAAACAAACAAAAAUAGGAGGGACCACAGGUGGAGCACCUUCAGCUCAUGCUGUGUUUGACCCAGAACCUGAAAGUUAGAAAAUGCUAUGAAAUUGUGUCAGAUUCAACUAAUUUACAAUUAUGUAAAUGAUUAGCUAACGGAAUUUAUAGGUAAGAGCACCUCUGAGCCAAUAGUAAUACUGUGUCAUUGAAGUAUAUUGGAGAGCAAGGAAACACUCUUUUUAUAUUGUGCUACACAGUAAAUUAAAGGCACGCUUAUAGUCAAUUUUGUGUGCCUAUAAAUAAAAGCACAGUUUAGUAUACUUUAAUUGAAUGUAAGAAUUCCCUCUCAAGUUACAUAAGUAAAACAAUAGCAUAAGGGUAUGAGCAUUAUUAGAGACAAGUCUUUGUCUCAUCUAUUCUAAAAAUAUUUAAGAACGGCGAUACAUUGAAUUCUCUCAGAAUUGGACUCCUGCCUGCCUGACUGCCAGCCUCUUCUCUUGAGCUUUCUGAUCUCUGUUAAUAAACUGGUUACAAAGCACACUCAGAUUUACCUCAUGUAGCAUGAAUAAAAAAUUUGGUAUAAUAUUUAUAACUUGUAAUAGGCCUUCAGUAAAUUUAAAAAAAUCUAUUUUUUAAUAAAAACCAUAGAAGCCAAACAGUGCAAGUAAAUAAAAGGAAAAAAAAGUCUUCAAACUCAAACUUAGACUGCAGGGAGAGAAUGAGAAUCAAGGACAAAGAGAAGUAACAACACAAAAGUAACUUUCAAUGUUCUUAAAUAAUGGUAAUUUAUGCAAGAAAAUAACUAAUGUAGAGAGCAUACAUAUGGUGCAUAUAUCAUGGGAAUUGUCAUAUAUGAUUUAAGGUUAGUGUUUUCUUAGAGUUAGAUCCAUGCCCAGGGGAACUGAAUCAGCAUGGCUAUAGACCUUGCGGGAAUGUGUUUUUGAAUGGGAUUGCUGACUUCUUUGCCUGCUGUUACAGAGCCAGGUGCCCUUGCUGACAAGUAGCUCUGAGACAUUCAUAUAACUCAUAUAUAGUCCCUGACCUUUUUCUGAUUUUUCCCUAGUACUUUUAUUUCUCAAAUUAUUAUUAGGAGAAUUAAAGGAAAGCCUCCAAGGCAUUAUUUGGAGGGCAGGCAUUUUUCACUAGCUUUAUCGCUUAGACAGAAAGUAUAAGCCAACUUGAUAAAUACCCACCUGGGCAAAGGUGAGGUCCCCAAAUGCUGAGACUCGAAUUUGGAAGAUGCUGAGUCUGUGUACUGUUUGAUUUCAAACGCAGUUUUGCUCUUUCAUUGCACUUAAGUAUGUCAUUUGAUGUCUUCUUCCUGAUGAUUAGAAGACAACAGUGUGUCCCCUGCAUUAGUGAAUCUUGCCUCAACAUCCAGAAAGUUAAAUGUAAGUUCUCCAAUGUUUGUAUGAGAGUUCUGACUGGGUUCUCCUUACAUUGUGACAGUUCCAGACAGGAAUAUGCUUAAGAUGUUCACAUAAGCAAAAUCUAUCAUGAAACUGAAAAAAUGUUCAAAUGUUGUCAACUUUUAAAAGAGGUGAUAAAAUAAUUGGAGUGAAGGCAAGUUAGAAUUUUUGCAACAGGGGCAUUCAUCAUGUUGACUUGCAAAAUGGACACAAGGAGUUCAUUGUGCUAUUUUAUAUAUGUUCAAAUGUUUGUUAAUACAUUUUUUAAUGUUCUACUAUGACAUAUCUUUGUAAUAUGUCAGAAAAAUGAGAAUUUGGUUAUGGCAAGUCAAUGCAAAUAAUUUUAUAACAUAUAGAAGAAAGAUAUAAAGAGUUUAUGGUUGGCAGAGACCAUUCAUUCCCAACCACUCAGACAAGAAAUAGUCACUCAGAAACUCAAUUAAAUUACUGCUUGGCCAAUCACUUAAAUGUAUUGCUAACUAGCUCUAAUAUCUUAAAUUAACCCAUUUUUAUUAUUUUAUAUUUUACCAUGAGGUUUGUAGCCUACUGGCAAGGUUCCGGGUACCAGCUCAUGUCUUUCUCCUCUGCCAGCUACAUGGCUUCUCCCUGACUCUGCCUUCUUUCUCCUAGCAUUCAGUUUAGUUUCUCCACCUAGCUCUAGUCUGCCCUAUCACAGGCCAAAAUAGCUUCUUCAUUAAUUAACCAAUAAAAGCAAUACACAUACAGAAGGACUUCCUAUAUCAGUUUAUGUUGUAAACAACUCCUCAAAAAUGACAUACUUGGUUUUUGGCUUUUUUUUCUACACAAUUAUUUUAAAUUUUUCUAAAAAUUAUUCAAAAUGGUACUAAAAUAACUAACAAGAGGUUAUCGUGUCUAUUAGUUAUAACUGCAGAAGCAGGGCAGAAAGAAUUUAAGAAUCACAGAGGUUGGAAGAGCAUUGGGAAACCCCAUCUUUUGGACACAACAUGGCGGUCACAGUCAUGAAAUCACAGCAGCCAUGGUUUGCAACAACUGCAUUAGUUGCCGGUGCAUUAAAAGGUGGGAUCUCAGCCCUUCAUCCUUGAAUCUUCCCUCGCCUGAGUGUCCUGCUGGACCAAGGAUGCAGAAUUGCAGGGGGCUUGAGACGGUCUUGAUGCAUCUCUCUGUGUGUCUUGGAAUGUUCGCAUUUUGGAAGCUAAACAUGUUCUUAGGAGACUUAACAGGAUCAUGAAGCCAUCGAGCUCUGGUUUCCGAAUAAGCUGCAGCUUUAGGAGUGUGGCUGUCCCUGGGGUGUCCAAACCAGCUGAGACCGCUGGUCUUCAAUGUUGUGUAUAAGAAGGGGCAGAUUGGUGAUGGAUGGAGAUAGAGACAGAGACCCACACUAGAGCACUGGACUGAGCUCCCAAGGUCCCAAUGAGGAGCAGAUGGAGGGAGAACAUGAGCAAGGAUGUCAGGACCACGGGGGUGCACCCACCCACUGAGACUGUGGGGGCUGAUUUAGUGGGAGCUCACCAAGGCCAGCUGGACUGUGACUGAAAAAGCAUGGGAUAAAACCGGACUCUCUGAUCAUGGCGAACAAUGAGGACUGAUGAGAAGCCAAGGUCAAUGGCACGGGUUCUGAUCCUACUUCAUGUUCUGGCUUGGUGGGAGCCUAGCCAGUUUGGAUGUUCACCUUCCUAGACAUGGACGGAGGGGGGAGGACCUUGGACUUUCCACA